UAACCUGCCCAAGAGAUCGGGAUAACACCUGGAAACAGACGCUAAUACCGGAUAACAACAGAUGAUGCCUAUCAACUGUUUAAAAGAUGGUUCUGCUAUCACUCUUGGAUGGACCUGCGGUGCAUUAGCUAGUUGGUAGGGUAACGGCCUACCAAGGCGAUGAUGCAUAGCCGAGUUGAGAGACUGAUCGGCCACAUUGGGACUGAGACACGGCCCAAACUCCUACGGGAGGCAGCAGCU
rnacentral:rRNA from 1 species